rnacentral:rRNA from 1 species
AUUGAACGCUGGCGGCAGGCCUAACACAUGCAAGUCGAACGGUAGCACAGAGAGCUUGCUCUCGGGUGACGAGUGGCGGACGGGUGAGUAACGUCUGGGAAACUGCCCGAUGGAGGGGGAUAACUACUGGAAACGGUAGCUAAUACCGCAUAACGUCGCAAGACCAAAGUGGGGGACCUUCGGGCCUCACACCAUCGGAUGUGCCCAGAUGGGAUUAGCUAGUAGGUGGGGUAAUGGCUCACCUAGGCGACGAUCCCUAGCUGGUCUGAGAGGAUGACCAGCCACACUGGAACUGAGACACGGUCCAGACUCCUACGGGAGGCAGCAGUGGGGAAUAUUGCACAAUGGGCGCAAGCCCGAUGCAGCCAUGCCGCGUGUAUGAAGAGGGCCUUCGGGUUGUAAAGUACUUUCAGCGGGGAGGAAGGCGGUGAAGUUAACAGCUUCACCGAUUGACGUUACCCGCAGAAGAAGCACCGGCUAACUCCGUGCCAGCCGCCGCCGUAA